CACAUCAAAUCUAUAUUUUUUUUUUUGCUAAUAUUUUUAUUUUAUUGCUAAUUUCCUUUUUCAUUUAUAAAACCUGUAAAAUUGGUGGUGUUUCCUUUCUUUUUCUUCUUUUAACGGGGGACAAAUUGGUUUGUUUUGACAAAUCAGCUGAUUAUUUGCAAGCUUCUGCAGGAAUUCCGUCUGUUUACUUUUUGGCAUUUUCCUUGCAAAAGAGAAUUUUAAUUCUUUAAAUGUGGGACAAAUUGGUUUGUUUUGACAAAUCAGCUGAUUAUUUGCAAGCUUCUGCAGGAAUUCCGUCUGUUUACUUUUCGCAUUUGCCUUGCAAAAGAGAAUAAAACUCCCUUACUUUCUCAGAAAGUAUUUGCAGGAUAAUUCCUGCUGGAAAACUAACCAGACACACCUAUUGCAUCAUUGCCUUCCCAACAUACCAAAAAUACAAUACAGCUUGAGAAUAAUAUUAUGAAAAUAGUUUAUCAUAAGAAUUUUUCAACAAUGCUUGAGAAACACUUUUUUGCACAAACUUUUCUCAAAUCUGUCCUUUGUUGACAAAUUUGUUUUGAUUUUUUUUGUGAAAAUUGUCAACAAAAAAUUAUUUUCUUUGGUUAAAAUCAAAAUCACGCGAAUUUAGGACCAUUUCCGGACGAAACUCUAAGAAUAGAGGCGUCAAAAAGUUGCAAGAAUUCAAGAGAUGUGAAGAAUUAGUGGAGGAGAUGCGGAAGCUCAAAUAAGGGGAAAGAAAACAUCUAGGUAUCAAUGCAACAGGAGGCAGCGACAGCUGGGAUGGCGAUCAAUGAAUGAAAUGUGUAAAAUAAUUAAAAAAAUUAAAAAAUAAAUAUUUUAUACCAUUGAAAAAAUAA